GGAGGGUGCAAGCGUUGUUCGGAAUCACUGGGCGUAAAGCGCGUGUAGGCGGCCUUCUUAGUCUGGUGUGAAAGUCCGGGGCUCAACCCCGGAAGAGCAUUGGAUACUGGAAGGCUGGAGUACCGGAGAGGAGGGUGGAAUUCCUGGUGUAGCGGUGAAAUGCGUAGAUAUCAGGAGGAACACCGGUGGCGAAGGCGGCCCUCUGGACGGAUACUGACGCUGAGACGCGACAGCGUGGGGAGCAAACAGGAUUAGAUACCCUGGUAGUCCACGCCGUAAACGAUGGGUACUAGGUGUUCGGGGUAUUGACCCCCUGAGUGCCGCAGCUAACGCAUUAAGUACCCCGCCUGGGGACUACGGCCGCAAGGCUA
rnacentral:rRNA from 1 species